rnacentral:rRNA from 1 species
UGAGCAAUCUGCCCUUCUCAUCGGAAUGAGCGUUGGAAACGACGUCUAAUGCCGAAUACGACCUCCUUUCGCACGAUCGGAGGUGGAAAGCUCCGGCGGAGAAGGAUGAGCUCGCGGCCUAUCAGCUAGUUGGUGUUGGUAACGGCCCACCAAGGCGACGACGGGUAGCCGGCCUGAGAGGGUGACCGGCCACACUGGGACUGAGACACGCCACGACGUACCUACCGGGUAACGGGGAGACGACGG